GAUGAACGCUGGCGGCGUGCCUAAUACAUGCAAGUCGAACGAAACUUCUUUAUCACCGAGUGCUUGCACUCACCGAUAAAGAGUUGAGUGGCGAACGGGUGAGUAACACGUGGGCAACCUGCCCAAAAGAGGGGGAUAACACUUGGAAACAGGUGCUAAUACCGCAUAACCAUAGUUACCGCAUGGUAACUAUGUAAAAGGUGGCUAUACUACCGCUUUUGGAUGGGCCCGCGGCGCAUUAGCUAGUUGGUAGGGUAAAGGCUUACCAAGGCAAUGAUGCGUAGCCGAAUUGAGAGGGUGAUCGGCCACAUUGGGACUGAGACACGGCCCAAACUCCUACGGGAGGCAGCAGUAGGGAAUCUUCCACAAAGGGCGAAAGCCUGAUGGAGCAACGCCGCGUGGGUGAAGAAGGUCUUCGGAUCGUAAAACCCUGUUGUUAGAGAAGAAAGUGCGUGAGAGUAACUGUUCACGUUUCGACGGUAUCUAACCAGAAAGCCACGGCUAACUACGUG
rnacentral:rRNA from 1 species